CCUACGGGAGGCAGCAGUGGGGAAUAUUGGACAAUGGGGGGAACCCUGAUCCAGCCAUGCCGCGUGUGUGAAGAAGGCCCUCGGGUUGUAAAGCACUUUCAGUGAGGAAGAACGCCUGGUGGUUAAUACCCAUCAGGAAAGACAUCACUCACAGAAGAAGCACCGGCUAACUCCGUGCCAGCAGCCGCGGUAAUACGGAGGGUGCGAGCGUUAAUCGGAAUUACUGGGCGUAAAGCGCGCGUAGGUGGCUUGAUAAGCCGGUUGUGAAAGCCCCGGGCUCAACCUGGGAACGGCAUCCGGAACUGUCAAGCUAGAGUGCAGGAGAGGAAGGUAGAAUUCCCGGUGUAGCGGUGAAAUGCGUAGAGAGCGGGAGGAAUACCAGUGGCGAAGGCGGCCUUCUGGACUGACACUGACACUGAGGUGCGAAAGCGUGGGUAGCAAACAGGAUUAGAUACCCGUGUAGUC
rnacentral:rRNA from 1 species